rnacentral:ncRNA from 1 species
UUCGGCUCUCGCAGCGAAUCUAUCUUUAUCGCUGUCCUCCGUCAGUCGUCGCCGACGCACCUCUUUUAGAACAAGUACAGCGAUCCGAUCGCCUUCCCUGCGGCGCGGC